rnacentral:rRNA from 1 species
UGGGGAAUAUUGCACAAUGGGCGCAAGCCUGAUGCAGCGACGCCGCGUGAGGGAUGACGGCCUUCGGGUUGUAAACCUCUUUCAGCAGGGAAGAAGCGCAAGUGACGGUACCUGCAGAAGAAGCGCCGGCUAACUACGUGCCAGCAGCCGCGGUAAUACGUAGGGCGCAAGCGUUGUCCGGAAUUAUUGGGCGUAAAGAGCUCGUAGGCGGUUUGUCGCGUCUGCUGUGAAAACGCGAGGCUCAACCUCGCGCCUGCAGUGGGUACGGGCAGACUAGAGUGCGGUAGGGGACACUGGAAUUCCUGGUGUAGCGGUGGAAUGCGCAGAUAUCAGGAGGAACACCGGUGGCGAAGGCGGGUCUCUGGGCCGUAACUGACGCUGAGGAGCGAAAGCAUGGGGAGCGAACA